UCUUAAAAAUCAGUAUCAGUACACAUCUCUACUCCUCAGGCAUUCUAUCACUUUCCAAGAUUGUAUUAAACAAUCAGAUUUAAAAACUCCACUGCCAUCUUUCCAAGACAUCUCCAAGCCUUCGCUGGACCAUCCUCAAGAACAGCUACCUUUCUACAGUUUAUUCUCUUCAUAUGUGAGGACAGAAUUGAGGACAGAAUUCAUCUUACUAAUUUGUCAUACUUCUCAUUCACUCUCUGGACAUCAUCCAACCUUCUCUCUUUCAUUUUCUUCAUUCAUCAGCUCCUCAAAGUACUCCCUCCACCUUCUGAACACACUGCCAUUGAUUGUGUGUAGGAACCCCUAAAAGGAGAGCAAAAUCAUGCUUGUUAAAUAUAAUUAAUUAGUAUUGCUAAGUAAUUUCUGUGUAUCAAACCAGGCUAAGAAGAAAUAUAGAUGAGAGCUCUGAUGUUACACACUAACACUUUAUUGCAAGUCUGUCUGAUUUGUCAGGUCUAAUGCAGUGUUUGUUGAAGAUGUUCUCAUUGGACGAUCCUGAGGAAUUUGGCCUUAAACGUGAUUCACUGCCUCAUCGUUCUCUGACUUAAACCACAUCUGAAACUGCAAACUCUUCAGGUUCCCCUCAUUUCUUUUUUUUUUUUCUUUUUUUUUCUGUUUUGUUUUUUAAUCUUACUCCCUUUGAUAUCACACCUGCUGUUUAAUGUUUGAGGUAUGUGCUGCCUCAAAUGGUGCCUUCAUGUUUUCCUUAAAGUAAUGUGUCAGAGUCACUAGUAAGCAGUACACUUGUGGACACUGAUUAUUUUCAAGUACACAUUGACUUUGUUGUCAAACAAAACAGCCACAUUUUUGUUGUAGUCUAAGUCAUAGCACACUACUACUUACGAAUAACCCAAAAGUAGUGAGUUACUGGGACUAAGGUUUGUUUUGAGACAUUACUAUUUAUCAUUUAACCUCAGGGGGUAAUUCUUGUAUUUUAUUUUAUUUUUCUUGUGUCAAAGAUCCAUUUCUGGUUUGUCUCUGGUAAAUUAUCACUUAAAGUAUAUCAACUUUUAUUAUGUAUUUUUUACUGUAUUGUAUCCUACUAUAUUUAUGUCUUUGUAAACCUGCAAUAUAUAAAUCGGUGAAUGUUGGUACGAUGCAACAAAGAAAACAAACCCGUUAUUGCAUUUGAUAAGCUGAACAAAUCAGAUAAGUGAAAUAUAUUUUUUUGUUGUUCACAUUGAAAUGUCGUGGAAAUUUUCACUUGCCAAUGUAUUUUAGAACUUGUAUAAAUGUAAAUUGUUGAGUUGUAGGACAAUUUGCAGGGGUCUAACACUUUUUUUUUUAAAGAGCCUAUUGUUAAACCUCUCAGCAACAAUAUCUUAACUGUCUUGUACUCAAUGCCAAGGAGUUAUCAAAAGACAAAAAUGAUAAAAUUAACUGGUUGGUCAGAAAACCCAGCUUGAUGUAUGAGUAAAAGAAAUAUAAAGAGUUGUUUUAUCGCUGUGAACAGAGCCUUGACUGUUUUGGUGCAGUGUAUUAGAGUUCUGUUCGAGACAGUCAUGAGUAAUGGUGAAUGCGUGCUCUACAAAAUCGAGGCUCACCAUUGGUACUUGUUAUUAACACACCUUGCACCAUGGACCUACCAGUGAAUCUUUGUGUUCACAGACUUGAGAUCACAAUGAAAAUAUUACACAAGAUGAUGUAUCUACAAAACAAGAGCUGGGCUAUGUAUGUAAAAGAGUGUUCGUCCCUAUGUUACUUUUAAUUUGUAUUAUCAAAGCCUGAAAAUGAGAUAUGCCUUUAUCACAGGGACUGGGUUUCAUUGAAGGUUUCUGUCCAUACUUUAACUGCCCCGUUAAAGCAACAGUCUUAUAUUUCAGAAUGGUUAACCCUGUAUGUGGGAAUUAGGAAAUUCCAGAUGUGUCAAAAUACGCUGCUUUCUGAUGCUUAGUUCACAGAAUCUUCGAGGGGUAACAGUUGUUGGUAUUUUAUAGCAGGAUUUGUUGGCUUUAUGUGUCACAACUGUAGGAGAGUAUUUUUCUAACAUUCAGUCUCAGGAAAGGGACUUCUGUGAAAAUUGCCCUAAAUGUUAUACCGCCUGUCAUAGAUGCAAUGUUUUCAGCCCUGAUUGUUUAACAUUGGACAAGUCAAAAAUUAACCACA